rnacentral:rRNA from 1 species
CGGUGUUUAACUGGCGUGAUGUGGGACGUCCUACCGGUGGGCUUAGCCUCGCGAGGGGCGGCCCAACUAAUAUCCCGUCGCGGUGCUCUUUACUGAGUGUCGAGUCGGGCCGGUACGUUUACUUUGAACAAAUUAGAGUGCUUAAAGCAGGCUAUCCUCGCCUGAAUACUGCGUGCAUGGAAUAAUGGAAUAGGACCUCGGUUCUAUUUUGUUGGUUUUCGGAACCCCGAGGUAAUGAUUAAUAGGGACAGAUGGGGGCAUUCGUAUUGCGACGUUAGAGGUGAAAUUCUUGGAUCGUCGCAAGACGGACAGAAGCGAAAGCAUUUGCCAAAAAUGUUUUCAUUAAUCAAGAACGAAAGUUAGAGGUUCGAAGGCGAUCAGAUACCGCCCUAGUUCUAACCAUAAACGAUGCCAGCUAGCGAUCCGCCGAAGUCCCUCCGAUGACUCGGCGGGCAGCUUCCGGGAAACCAAAGCUUUUGGGUUCCGGGGGAAGUAUGGUUGCAAAGCUGAAACUUAAAGGAAUUGACGGAAGGGCACCACCAGGAGUGGAGCCUGCGGCUUAAUUUGACUCAACACGGGAAACCUCACCAGGCCCAGACACCGGAAGGAUUGACAGAUUGAUAGCUCUUUCUUGAUUCGGUGGGUGGUGGUGCAUGGCCGUUCUUAGUUGGUGGAGCGAUUUGUCUGGUUAAUUCCGAUAACGAACGAGACUCUAGCCUGCUAAAUAGGCGUACCUUAUGGUAUCGCGAAGGCCCCCGGCUUCGGCCGGUGGGUUUUUACUACCAACGUACAAACAAAUCUUCUUAGAGGGACAGGCGG